GCUGGGGCCUGAGCAUUGUCUCGGACUUGAGAAGGGCAAGCUGAGUGUGGGGAACUGGGAACUGGGAGCGUGAAGACUGCGGUAGUGUGGCGGGGCGGGGUGAUUUAGUACCAUAGGCUGGGGAUGGAGAAGGGGCUGCUAAUGGGUGGGUGCAGCAGGUGCAGUCCGGUGUUGCGAGUGAGCACUGGUAGGGAGCUUUAGGGUCAUUUGCGUUACUUGAGCAAUUCCUCUUCUUACUCUGAGCAGGCUUCGCCAAGCCAAAGCACUUGGCGAGAGUAGUGCCUCAUUCUUCAUCCCUGGAGGUCAAUGUCUGUCCAGGCGCACACGCCCAUUACAUACAACUUUAGGAAAAGACUAGUGAUCCUACGAAAGCGAGUGUAAUUGGAAAAAAGAAAAAUCCAAAAGAUCAUAACUUUGGACACUUUGGAGCAUCUUAGACUUGCCUUUGUCUUUAUUGACUAUGCUUGUUCCUCUGCUAUAGUAGCAGCAUUUAGUGGUAGAAGGACCUCUGAGCCUAGCCCUGCCUCGCACACUCCAAGAAUACUGUGCUCGCUGCCUGAUACCAAAGACUCCUUUCACCCUGUGAUUGGCUUUUGUUCCUCCUGAGUGAUGGGGUGGGUGUGGCAGGCCGCAGUGUGUGAACUGUGUUGCCGGCAGAGUGAGGGUGGAGUCCUGGGGGCGGGUCUGUCAGGGAAACAAAGGAGUUCACAAAAGCGUGGGAUGUAUUCCACAACUGAGUGUUUAAAAGCCAGUCAGGCGCUGUCCUUCCAGUAUUUAGUUCAUCCGUUGUUAGAAAAGAAGGUUCUGAGAACCUUCGACGCCUAGAGCAUUCUUACCUUCAUUUGCAGUGACUAAGAGGUCCCAGCCUUGGUGCUGCGGAUGGAGAGGAGGGGGACACGCCUAAAAACUGCAGCGCGGUGAGCUAGCCAGAGACCACCGCAGACUCAGGCGCACUCACAUCAGCGCGUGCGCAGACGCGAUGCAUCAGCUCUCCCUUCAAACCCGCAUUUUCUAGGUAUUCGAGGAAGAAACUGAUCCCUUUGUGAGCGUAUGUGAAAUAAACCUGUGUGCUCUGAGGGAGAGAAGAAGAAGGGUGUCAGAGUAUGUUCCCUGCUAUCCCAGGUUGAAGGUCACUGCUUCCCUACGCGGGGCUAGUGGUUUAGGAGGUGAUGUGACCCCUUUUAUUCUCUAAGGAGUGAGGCCCAAGUGACUCAGGGUCACACUAUAGGGUAGAGCUCGCAGCUGUUGAGCGAGGGAGGACCUGCUAGAACCAUCUGAAGCUGUCAUCGCCUCUCCUUUCCGCAAGGGGUGUGGGGGCAGGGCGGGCUUUAAACUGAAUUCUAAUGUACCAUGAGAAGCAGCCUAGAACAAAAGCCUUGCCGCCUGUGAUUGCCAGGGUGUCCAGACUGGAUCUCUAUGGCCAGAGUUCGCCAGAUACGGUUGCAGGUGUUCAGUUCAGGGUGGAUUGAGAAGAGAGAGGCAAGAACAGUGAAGGUGUGCCCACGUGCCCAGUAACAGGGUUCCAA
rnacentral:lncRNA from 1 species